UAAACCUGAGACUUACAGGUCAAAAGAUAAAUGAAUGUGUAAUUUCUAGAUAUUGCUGAAUUUCCCUUUACAGGGGUUGUAGCAUUUUGCUCUCCCACUAGCCUUCCCACCAGCAAUCUGUGAAAUCUGUUUUCCUGUAGACACACCAAGAGAUAACCUUGUCCAAUUUGAGGCUUAACUGACAGGCAAUCUUUUCUCACAGUGAUGCACAUUCAGCUGGCUCCUUAGGAGAACCAAGCCUAAGAAUAAUCUAGCUUUUGAAGAGAACCAAGCUUCUUUUUUCCUCUUCUGGAGAACCACAAACUGGCUUAACAGAGGGCUCUCUGACGCACAGUUUUAUUGUAAGAAGGCCAGUCACAGGAGACGGCCUACUGCCUUCAAGAAACAGCAUGGAAGAUUCCUUAUUUCAUCACCCCUGUACUUUUCAUUGAGGUAUGAAACAGACUUUUCCAAUGAGACUUUUUCUCUCCUAUUUCAGCUGAGACUCCAAGAACUGAGAACAAAAUUAAGGUGCCAAAUAUUCCCACAUUCCAAAUCUAUGCAGAGCUUACAAAGGAGGUGCUCCAGCUCCAGUUUUCUAAGACUUAGUUCAUUUCCUACUUCCAGGACACAUGAGAAAUUGAAGACUUUUAGGCAUUUGACUCAUCCUUGAGAAAAACUAAGGCAAAGGCAGUGGCUGGAGCAGUUUGCCUACGGGAGAGCAAUGAGGGGUACAUUUCCAUAGCUACAAGGAGGCACAGGUGCUUCCCCUGGACCAGAUGUAGUCC
rnacentral:lncRNA from 1 species